ACCCCAUCCCAGCCCUUCCAGGGAAGUGCUCUGUGCAGGGAACUCUUCUGAAGCAGCUUUUCCACAAGGAGAAAUAUGUCACUUCACACAGCUUCUGGCAUCUCAGCCCUGGAGCAGUAGGAUCCCCCAGGCCCUCCUGUAUGAGGCCAGGAGAUGGUGGGUAAGCCUAUUUCUAACUGCUUGCUUUUGUUGCAAUAAUAUUUAUGGGAAGUAUAAUCAUUAAGGACUCUGUCCUGGAAAAAGUCAUAUGCCACAUCAUCUCUUAGUAUUGCCCUGGGUCUAACACCACACCAUUCUCCAUGUUUAAGAAUAACCUGUAAAUAACCUUUUUCACUGAAUUGGAGAUCCUAUUCUUUCAGGGGACAGAAAGAAGGGAAUAUGGCUCGUGGCUCCAGUCAGAUGCUACAAGAACUAAACAUAUGGAUUAUUCCUAGCAGCAGCUUUGUGAGUAAGUCAGUGGAUAAGAUUUGUUUGCAGAUGCAUUGAACAGUUGCAAACAACAGUCUUGACUGGAGAAGAAAGGCCUGCAAUCCCAAGAUAAAUUCUCUGUAAUAAAUCACACGAGCGACUCUACCUGGGAGGAAAGCUGCUUCAGUGCAGCUGCUUCCGUGAGGUGCCAGCUAAACCAAGCAACGUGCAGACAGUGGCUAAACCUUGGGGAAGAUCAUCUAAGUGGCUUAUCCUUAUUUACCUUUGAUCUCGUGAAGAAUAAGACUGCACAUGCACAUAGAGGACUAGACGUGCUGUCCAGAUAAUCACACCACCAAAGUGGCUAAAUGCAAAACCCUGUAGUGGAGCCAGCUCCUCAGAUACAUUGCUGGAUCGUUGCAUCCAUUUUGCGCAUUCACAGCUAUAUCCACAAGUCUAAGAGGAGAAAGUAUCUUUCCACUUUUGUAAAAGGCAUGCUA
rnacentral:lncRNA from 1 species